CUCCUACGGGAGGCAGCAGUGGGGAAUAUUGGACAAUGGGCGAAAGCCUGAUCCAGCCAUGCCGCGUGUGUGAAGAAGGUCUUCGGAUUGUAAAGCACUUUAAGUUGGGAGGAAGGGCANUAACCUAAUACGUUACUGUUUUGACGUUACCGACAGAANANNCACCGGCUAACUCUGUGCCAGCAGCCGCGGUAAUAC
rnacentral:rRNA from 1 species